CAACGGGCUAUCGUAGGUCCAAGUAGCCUGACGUGAUAGCCAGCCCAGGUAGACAGCCCAGGUAGACAGCCCAGCCUUUUCCGUAAACCCUAUUAUAACCCAAUAGAAACAUGUUUUAGCCCUAAAUAUACUAAUGCUGUCCAUUCAAAGCGACUUUGAACAACGACCUUAAAGUUAGAGUUGCCUAUCAAUAACUAAGGACAUUUCGAAACCAAUUUUGUACUGUGUGUUGAAUUAUGUCUAAAUUUUGUAUAAACAUGAUUGUGCAGUAUCUAAAAACUUAUUAGAUUAUGAAUAACAUUUGAUUCCUUCGCGUUCGAGAGAAUAUUUUAACUUUGACCCAAACACAUAUCAUGGAUAGAAAAGAAACCUUAGGCUACACUCAAACUUGUUGAACGGAUUUUGGUAACUUUUUGGGAAUCGAACCAGGACGGACUUGUUUGUGCUAUGUGUGAAGACAUUUGUUGGCAUUUCUUUUAAAUUAUGGUGAAACAGGUAAAUUUUCGAAAAUACAGCUCAAGAUACUGAGCCAAUCGUUAAGUAGUUCAUUUUCUUGUUUCUUUUCAGUAAACCAUCUUCAAAAAGUGUAAGUUCUUAAGUUUUUAUUUCACACUCAGAAAGUAUUAUUUCUAGAAAAACAGGCAAAACUAUGUUUGAGAAUGGGGACAGCCAGUCAGUUAUUUUUUAUAUGGAAAUGUCUUCAUUUAAUAAAUUGUUUCUAUUUAUUGUCAAAUAUUGUCACAUUGCUUUUUUAUGCCA